UGUCUUCAGGGUGGGGCGCAAUUCCCCUACUGGCGGUAUAGUCCGCGACCGGCUCUCGCAGCCGUUGACUCGGUGUAACUCCGGGACCAACAGUACAGUCUGGAUGAAAGAAGAU
rnacentral:ncRNA from 1 species